AGAGUUUGAUCCUGGCUCAGGAUGAACGCUGGCGGCGUGCUUAACACAUGCAAGUCGAACGAUCCUUCGGGAUAGUGGCGGACGGGUGAGUAACGCGUGGGAAUCUGCCCUCAGGAGGGGGAUAACGGCUGGAAACGGCCGCUAAUACCCCAUAUGCCGAGAGGUGAAAUGAAUUUCGCCUGAGGAUGAGCCCGCGUCUGAUUAGCUAGUUGGUGGGGUAAAGGCCUACCAAGGCAACGAUCAGUAGCUGGUCUGAGAGGAUGAUCAGCCACACUGGGACUGAGACACGGCCCAGACUCCUACGGGAGGCAGCAGUGGGGAAUUUUCCGCAAUGGGCGAAAGCCUGACGGAGCAACGCCGCGUGAGGGAUGAAGGCCUCUGGGCUGUAAACCUCUUUUCUCAAGGAAGAAGACCUGACGGUACUUGAGGAAUAAGCCACGGCUAAUUCCGUGCCAGCAGCCGCGGUAAUACGGGAGUGGCAAGCGUUAUCCGGAAUUAUUGGGCGUAAAGCGUCCGCAGGCGGCCUUGUAAGUCUGUUGUUAAAGCGUGGAGCUCAACUCCAUUUAAGCAAUGGAAACUACAAGGCUGGAGUGUGGUAGGGGCAGAGGGAAUUCCCGGUGUAGCGGUGAAAUGCGUAGAUAUCGGGAAGAACACCAGUGGCGAAGGCGCUCUGCUGGGCCAUAACUGACGCUCAUGGACGAAAGCCAGGGGAGCGAAAGGGAUUAGAUACCCCUGUAGUCCUGGCCGUAAACGAUGAACACUAGGUGUCGGGGGAAUCGACCCCCUCGGUGUCGUAGCCAACGCGUUAAGUGUUCCGCCUGGGGAGUACGCACGCAAGUGUGAAACUCAAAGGAAUUGACGGGGGCCCGCACAAGCGGUGGAGUAUGUGGUUUAAUUCGAUGCAACGCGAAGAACCUUACCAGGGUUUGACAUCCUGCGAACCCCUGAGAAAUCGGGGGGUGCCUUCGGGAGCGCAGAGACAGGUGGUGCAUGGCUGUCGUCAGCUCGUGUCGUGAGAUGUUGGGUUAAGUCCCGCAACGAGCGCAACCCACGUCUUUAGCUGCCAGCAUUCAGUUGGGCACUCUAGAGAGACCGCCGGUGAUAAACCGGAGGAAGGUGUGGAUGACGUCAAGUCAUCAUGCCCCUUACAUCCUGGGCUACACACGUACUACAAUGCUACGGACAAAGGGCAGCAAGCUCGCGAGAGUUAGCAAAUCCCAUAAACCGUGGCUCAGUUCAGAUCGUAGGCUGCAACUCGCCUACGUGAAGGAGGAAUCGCUAGUAAUCGCAGGUCAGCAUACUGCGGUGAAUACGUUCCCGGGCCUUGUACACACCGCCCGUCACACCAUGGAAGUUGGCCAUGCCCGAAGUCGUUACUCCAACCCUUGUGGAGGAGGACGCCGAAGGUGGGGCUGAUGACUGGGGAGAAGUCGAACAAGGUA
rnacentral:rRNA from 1 species